rfam:Brassica napus, WGS project CCCW01000000 data, contig: 24606
CUGCUGCUGUGAUGAUCUUUUGAAUAAAAUUCACAUGUCAGGCUUCAGAGAUUCAUCAAGAAUCAGUGAGAACAAAUAUUCAUAACUCUUGAGCAGUUU